rnacentral:sRNA from 1 species
AGACUGAUGGGGCGGUAACUCGCGGUUUC